AUUGAACGCUGGCGGCAUGCUUUACACAUGCAAGUCGAACGGUAACAGGCCGCGAGGUGCUGGCGAGUGGCGAACGGGUGAGUAAUGCAUCGGAACGUGCCCAGGCGUGGGGGAUAACUACUCGAAAGAGUAGCUAAUACCGCAUACGAUCUAUGGAUGAAAGCGGGGGACCGUAAGGCCUCGCGCGAUUGGAGCGGCCGAUGUCAGAUUAGGUAGUUGGUGGGGUAAAGGCUCACCAAGCCAACGAUCUGUAGCUGGUCUGAGAGGACGACCAGCCACACUGGGACUGAGACACGGCCCAGACUCCUACGGGAGGCAGCAGUGGGGAAUUUUGGACAAUGGGCGCAAGCCUGAUCCAGCAAUGCCGCGUGCAGGAAGAAGGCCUUCGGGUUGUAAACUGCUUUUGUACGGAACGAAACGGCUCUGGUUAAUACCCGGGGCUAAUGACGGUACCGUAAGAAUAAGCACCGGCUAACUACGUG
rnacentral:rRNA from 1 species